rnacentral:rRNA from 1 species
UACGUAGGGUGCGAGCGUUAAUCGGAAUUACUGGGCGUAAAGCGUGCGCAGGCGGUUCGUUAAGUUCGAUGUGAAAGCCCCGGGCUCAACCUGGGAACUGCAUUGGAAACUGGCGAGCUUGAGUAUGGCAGAGGGGGGGUGGAAUUCCGCGUGUAGCAGUGAAAUGCGUAGAGAUGCGGAGGAACACCGAUGGCGAAGGCAGCCCCCCUGGGCCAAUACUGACGCUCAGGCACGAAAGCGUGGGGAGCAAACAGG